AUUGAACGCUGGCGGCAUGCUUUACACAUGCAAGUCGAACGGUAACAGGCCGCAAGGUGCUGACGAGUGGCGGACGGGUGCGUAAUGCAUAGGAACGUGCCCAGUCGCGGGGGAUAACUACUCGAAAGGGUAGCUAAUACCGCAUACGAUCUAAGGUAGAAAGCGGGGGACCGUAAGACCUCGCGCGAUUGGUGCGGCCGAUGUCAGAUUAGGUAGUUGGUGGGGUAAAGGCUCACCAAGCCAACGAUCUGUAGCUGGUCUGAGAGGACGACCCGCCACACUGGAACUGAGACACGGCCCAGACUCCUACGGGAGGCAGCAGUGGGGAAUUUUGGACAAUGGGCGCAAGCCUGAUCCAGCAAUGCCGCGUGCAGGAAGAAGGCCUUCGGGUUGUAAACUGCUGUUGUACGGAACGAAACGGCUCUGGUUAAUACCCGGGGCUAAUGACGGUACCGUAAGAAUAAGCACCGGCUAACUACGUG
rnacentral:rRNA from 1 species